CCGCGCGCAGUGGGCGGCCCGGCCCGCGCCCCGCAGCUCCAUCCGCCGGCCCGCUGACGUUGCGAGUUCAGAAUAAAGGGCGAAUCGCGGAGCCGGAGCGAGCGCCGCUCCCCCUCCUUUGUUUCUGACUCACGGAGGGUAAGGAAGACGGGAGACCUAAACCCAGCCGAGGACGGCUUCCAGAGGGGCAGGGGGACCGAGACUCAGACCCCUGGUCGCAGCGAGAGGUGGAGCCAGGGAAGACACGGACCGAACCUGCCGAGAGGGACGGCAGGAGAUGGAGUGGAUACUAAAGAGGCACAGAUCGAUGAAGACCCGAGAAAGCCGCAAUCUAGACCAUCUUCCUCCCAAACGAAGAACAAAAACAAGAGCCGGAGCUGGCUUGGAGGAUUUAAGCUGCAAACUCCUUUGCAAAAGAAAAAACUGGUGAAGUGGAGGAAAAGGACUAGAAGCGAAGUUCGUUUAUCCAUUUACUGAAAUACAAGUACCUCUGUCUGGCCUGAGCAUUUGGCCAGGUGGGCUGGAGACACUUGAAGGCUGGGAAAAAAUGUCAGGAGCUGAGGAAGCACUGCUUUACUGAAAGACCACCCAGCAAGGCUCUGAUUAGUGACUGCAAGAAUGAAACAAACAUGCUAGGAAGCCCUACGGGGAUUUAUCAGGUAACCCUUGCUUCACUUCAGAAUCUGCUACAUGUCCAAAGGAAAGGAGUAAUUUUCCCGAAAGUAUACUGAAAGAUCCUCCGCUGUGUAUCAAGACCCCACAUUCCUGACUGCAAGGAGAAAACACUUACUAUUUAUAUUUGCCAGGCCUAAUUUUGUUUCCUGGGGCCAUUGUGACUUUUUAGAAAUUAUCUAUUUGGGGCCUCUGAUGAGUCACUACAUGGAAUACUUAACAAUUAUGGGGGUUAACACACUGGCAGCCACAUCCCACGUUUAGACUGUGUUUAAAAACAACAAAAUAAUGGCUUUUCUUUUCUAGAGUUGUUUUAAACCAAUCUCACUUUAAAAGCAAACUCAAAAAGUCCCUUCUCCUGUGAUAAGAAAGAAAAAAAAAAGUUCAAUUUAACAAAUGUUUACUGAGCACCGGUUAUAAACUAGGCACUGAGCUAGGUGUGUGAACAAACACCUGUUAGGGUCCCUUCCUUUCAGGGGAUCUCUGUCAGAGACAGACAUGGAACUCAGUGGGAGAGGGGCUAUAAAGGAAGAAGGCACCAAGAAUUAAUUCCACGGAUGAGUGCUACUGCUCUUCUCAGUGGGUGCUGCCCCCAAGGCUGCUUUCCUGACUCUCUGGGUAGAAGGAAAGUGAGGAGAAAAAGGCAGAACCUGAAAACCCUCACAAUGUAUUUUAAAAAGUCAACCUCAAAAAGUCUAGUGUCCCACACUGAAAAGCAAAUUUCUUCACUUUGGUAAGGGUCUAGGGACCAACACUUAAAGGAUUUUAGAUUUUAAUUGCUAAAAUAAUUCAACUGAACAACUGUGUUCCUAAACAAAGCUACACUUAAAUUACUAAAGAUAUGUCUACCUGCUUCUCCACUAUGCUCUACAGAUAGAAAUUACAUGUGAGUUUCUUGUUACACCAAAGACACCAAGAGUACCUAGAAUCCAAUCUGAAGAGUAGUAUAAUGAAAAAAGUGAAUGGAACUUCCGAAAAAGAUUUUCAGGCAAAUAAUGAUAAAAGGCCCAAGAUAUUUGCUUUUGUGGAAUAAUAAACCAAAGCCCACUGCUGUUGAGUCGAUUCUGACUCAUAGCGACCCUAGAGGACAGAGUAGAACCGCCCCAUAGAGCUUCCAAGGAGCGCCUGGCGGAUUCAAACUGCCGACUUUUUGGUUAGCAGCUGUAGCACUUAACCACUACGCCACCAGGGUUUCUUUGUGGAGUAGUAAUAGGCUCCUUAUUAUGGCCAGACACUUACAUACAAAUGCUGGGGUUGGGAGUGGGUGAGGGAGAAGGAUAGGAUGGAGCUUUUCAUAUCUCAAAAUACUCAAAACUCUCCUCAUCUCUCCAUUUCCACUGCUUACAAUUUGAGGGCCAACUACGGUGUUUUAUACCUCUUUGCUUUUGUGUACUCUGCCUAGAAGGUUGCCCCAUCCCUCUACAUAGUAAAACUAUUCAUCUUUUAAAAACCACCUCUCAAAUUAUCACUCCUCCAGGAAGCUUUCCUUCAUUGCAUUGGCUUCUCCUUAGAGUUAUGUACUUGUUCUUCUAUGUUUCGUAAAUAUAUGGAAGAAUGUAUCUGUCUGUGGUCAGUCUUCCUCGUAAGCCUCUGAGUUCUUGGAAGGCACAAAUAAUACAUAAAUUCUUUUUGCAAAAGUUUUAAACAGUAUACAUAAAGCUCCAGUCUUCCUUAACUCUCCUUCCCAUUACUCUUUCCAGAGGUAACAACAAUUUAGUCAACUGUUCUAGAGGUUGUGGAUACAGCAAUAAACAAAGUAAAAAACAAAACAAAAACGUUUACCUUCAUGGAAUUUUAUAUUCCAAUGGGGGAGGAAGGAAGAUAACAAAAUUAUUAAGUAAAUAUAAAAUAAGAACACAACAAUAAUAAUUAUAGUGAACACAUACAUCACUAUAUGUGAGGCACUGCUCUAAGCACUUUACACACAUUAUUUAAUUCUUACAACAAUCUACAAAUUAUCCUACUUUCACAAUAAAAUUAAAAAAAAAAAAAAGAAAUUAUCCUACUUUACAGACAAAAAGACUGAGGUACAGAGAAGCUAAGGUCUUACAUCUUGAAAGUGAGAGUUGGGAUGCAAACCCAGGCAGUCUGACUUCAGAGUCUGUUCUCCUAACUAUGAUGCCACAUUGCUUCUCUGUAGUAAGUCAGAUGAGGAAAACGCUAUGGAGAAAAAUAAAGCAGGUUUAAAGAAGAAUUGAGGGAGGGGGUGGUGUCAGUAGUAUGAGGUUUUAAAUCCAGGGGUUAGGGAAGGCCUCAUUGAGAAACUGACAUAUCAGCAAAGACCAGAAGGAGGUAAGGGGACAUAUAUCUGGGGGAAGAGUGUUCCAGGCAGAGAGAACAGUAAGUACAAGGAGAUGAAGGCCUGGUAUGUUCAAGAGCAGAAUGGAGAGUAGUGUGGCUGGAGUGCAGUGAAUACAGUGCUGGGUAGUAAGAGAUGAGAUCAGAGAAGUUAAGGCAGGAGAUGGGGGUGAGUGUGAAGAUGAGAUCAGGUAGGUCCUUGCAGGUCACUGUAAGGCCUUUGGUUUUCACUUUGAGUAAGAUGGGAAACAUUUGGGGGGUUUUGCUCAGAGAUGUGAUAAGCCCUGAAUUAUGCAUUUUAACAGGAUCACUCUACUGCUACAUUGAGAACAGGUUAUAAGGGGGCACGGGUGAGCCAGGGAAACCAGCUGUAAUAAUCAGCGAAAUGCUGGCGGCAUGCACCAGGGCAGUAGUGGUGAGAGAUGGUCAGAUUCUGGACAUAGUUUGAAGGCAGUGAUCACAGUAUUUACUGAUGAGUCAGUAUGCAGGUGUGAGAGAAAGGAGGGAGUCAAGAAACCACCAACGUUUUUGACCUGGGCAACUAACUGGAAAGAUCAAAAGUUUGGUUUUGAUCAUGGUAAGUUUGUAAACUUAUUAGACAUUCAAGCAGAACUGUCAAGUAGGCAGUUGGAUAUACAAGUCUAGUUCAGGAGAGAGGUUCAGAAUAGAAGCAGUGGUUCUCAGCUAUGGUGACUUUACCCCCAAGGGACAUUUGGCAAUGUCUGGAGACAUUUUUGGUUGUCAUAACUUGUCAUACUGGACUCUAGUGAGUAGGGGCCAAGGAUGUUGCUAAACAUCCUGUAGUGUUGUUUACAACCCCCUACAAAAAAAAAUUAUCUGGCCCAAAAUGCCAAUAAUGCUGAGUUGAGACCAAAGAUACAACUUUGGGAGUCAUUAGGAGACAAACAGAAUUUAAAGGCAUGAGACUGGAUGAGAUCACCAAGAGAGGGUAUAGAGAUGGACCAAGGACUGAGCCCCAGGGAUGCCAAAAAUAGGAGAAACCAGCAAAAGAGACAGAGAAGGAAUGACCAGUGAGUUAGGAGGACCAGGAAAGUACAGUUUCUGGAAGCUAUGUGAUAAAAGUGUUUCAAAGUGAAUGAUUGAUGGACUGUGUCAAAUGCUGCUGAUGGGCCACAUAAAGUGACCACUAAAAGCUGACUCUGAAUUCAGCCAUGUGGGAACCAUGAAAAGAGCAAUGUUGGGGAGAGAUGGGGGUGAAGGCCUGAAUGGAGCAAGUUUAAGAGAAUAUGUGAGGGGAGGAAGUGGAAAGAGUGAAUGUAAACAACUCUUGAAGAAUUUUGCUACAAAGGAGAACAGAGAAAUGGGAUAGCAGCUGGAGAAAGAAGGGAGAUCGGAAGAGGGUUUUUAAAAUGGGAAAAAUAACAAUAUGUUUGUAUGCUGCUAUGAAUGAUCCAGUAAAAAUGAUUUAAGAGAGAGAGGGGAGAACAAGUCUGGAGUGAUAUCCUAGAAUGGAUGAGGUGGAUGGAGAUCUGGUGCCCAAGUGGAAGGGUUGGUCUUAGCUGGGAGCACUCACCUACUGUGACAGAAUGGAAAGCAGUGAGUUGUAGUGGGAGCUAUGGAAGUUCUCUUCUAGUGGCUUCUCUUUCCAGUUAAUGUACAUCCUUGAGUAAUAUCUUCUUGUAUGUGUAUCAAUUGUAUGUGUAUGUUCAAUUAAGUGUUUGCUGAAUGAAUACAUGAAUCAUAUUCAUAUUUUUUUGAAGAAGUUAAGACUCCCCACCCCUUUGGGACCAAGGAAGAAUGAAGAAAACUAAAGACACAUGGCAAAGAUUGGGCCAAAGGACUAAUGGACCACAUCUACCAUGGCCUCCACCAGACUGAGUCUAGUAUAGCAAGAUGGUGCCCGGCUACCACCACUGACUGCUCUGCCAGGGAUCACAAUAGAGGGCCCUGGACAGAGCUGGAGAAAAAUGUAGAACAACAUUCUAACUCAAAAAGAAAGACCAGACUUGCUGGCCUGACAGAGACUGGAGAAACCUGAGAGCAUGGACCCCGGACACCCUUUCAGCUCCGUAACGAGGCCACUCCUGAGGUUCACCCUUCAGCCAUAGAUUAAGCAGGCCCAUGGAACAAAACAAAACAAAACAAAACAUUCAAACAAAACAGGCACACCUGCCCUGGGGCAGGGACUGGAAAGUAGGAAGGAACAGGAAAGCUGGUAAUAGGGAACCCAGGGUUGAGAAGGGAGAAUGUUGACAUGUUGUGCGGUUGUUAACCAAUGUCAUACAACAAUGUGUGUACUAACUGAUAAGAAAUUAGUUUGUUUGGUAAACCUUCAUCUAAAGUUCAAUUAAAAAUAAAGAAAGAAAGAAGUUAAGACCCCAGCCUAAAUGUCACUAAACGCUAAACUCCUGCUAAAUAUCCAAGAGCAAUUUUAUCAGGAGCAAAAGAAAAGGUUGGCAUUCAAUGUCUAUGUCUGAAAAUGCUGGAAUUUCAAACACAGAGAUCAUUCUGCUCCUCACUGGAUGUCUACUUGAACCAUAAAGAACUCAUUAUUUCUCAAA